rnacentral:rRNA from 1 species
GCCAGACUCCUACGGGAGGCAGCAGUGGGGGAUAUUGCACAAUGGGGGAAACCCUGAUGCAGCGACGCCGCGUGAGUGAAGAAGUAUUUCGGUAUGUAAAGCUCUAUCAGCAGGGAAGAAAAAAGACGGUACCUGACUAAGAAGCCCCGGCUAACUACGUGCCAGCAGCCGCGGUAAUACGUAGGGGGCAAGCGUUAUCCGGAUUUACUGGGUGUAAAGGGAGCGUAGACGGCAAUACAAGUCGGAAGUGAAAUACCCGGGCUCAACCUGGGAACUGCUUUGGAAACUGUAUGGCUGGAGUGCUGGAGAGGUAAGCGGAAUUCCUAGUGUAGCGGUGAAAUGCGUAGAUAUUAGGAGGAACACCAGUGGCGAAGGCGGCUUACUGGACAGUAACUGACGUUGAGGCUCGAAAGCGUGGGGAGCAAACAGGAUUAGAUACCCGUGUAG